GACGAACGCUGGCGGCGUGCUUAAUACAUGCAAGUCAACUUGACUUUAGAUAGCAAUAUCGAAAAGUAGGGUGGCGCACGGGUGCGUAACGCGUAGGUAAUCUGCCCUGAGGUCUGACAUAACCCGUCGAAAGGCGGGCUAACAUCAGAUGAUAUAUAAUCACGACAUCGUGGAAAUAUCAAAUCUUCGGAGCCUUGGGAUGAGCCUGCGUCUGAUUAGGUAGUUGGCGGAGUAAUAGCCCACCAAGCCUACGAUCAGUAGCUGGUCUGAGAGGAUGAUCAGCCACACUGGAACUGAGACACGGUCCAGACUCCUACGGGAGGCAGCAGUAAGGAAUAUUGCUCAAUGGGGAAACCCUGAAGCAGCAACGCCGCGUGAAGGAUGAAAUACUUUGUAUGUAAACUUCUGUAAGAAUGGGAAAAAAUAUUUACUCCUUCGGGAGAAUUGAUUGUACCAUCAGAGUAAGCCCCGGCUAACUACGUGCCAGCAC
rnacentral:rRNA from 1 species